AUUGAACGCUGGCGGCAUGCCUUACACAUGCAAGACGAACGGCAGCACGGGUGCUUGCACCUGGUGGCGAGUGGCGAACGGGUGAGUAAUACAUCGGAACGUACCUUAUCGUGGGGGAUAACGCAGCGAAAGCUGUGCUAAUACCGCAUACGCCCUGAGGGGGGAAAGCGGGGGAUCGCAAGACCUCGCGCGAUUAGAGCGGCCGAUGCCUGAUUAGCUAGUUGGUGGGGUAAAAGCCCACCAAGGCGACGAUCAGUAGCUGGUCUGAGAGGACGAUCAGCCACACUGGGACUGAGACACGGCCCAGACUCCUACGGGAGGCAGCAGUGGGGAAUUUUGGACAAUGGGGGCAACCCUGAUCCAGCAAUGCCGCGUGAGUGAAGGAGGCCUUCGGGUUGUAAAGCUCUUUUGUCAGGGAAGAAACACCGGCUCUAACACAGUCCGGGAAUGACGGUACCUGAAGAAUAAGCACCGGCUAACUACGUGCCAGCCGCCGCAGUAA
rnacentral:rRNA from 1 species